ensembl:snoRNA
AUCCUUUUUUUGGUUCAUAGCAUGAUGGGUGUUCAUGCCAUUGCAUGAUGUGUGCCUUCCCUUAACCUUGUUCAGACUUGGGCAUAUUACCCAUCUAAAA